rnacentral:lncRNA from 1 species
AUGCAGGAAAACUGGAGAUGCUGGCCAAGUCGGCAGCUGCCUGCAUUCCGGCAAAGUCACAGGGCGGCGGCGGCGGCGGCCUCGCAGCCAGUGCCCGCGCGGCGGGAGCCGGGACCCGCCCCGGGGAAGGAUGCGCGGAGCCAAGGUAGGGGACCCCUCCUCCUCCAAGCUUGGCUCGGGUCUGCCGGCGCGUGGCCCCGCCCUCCCGGGGGUGGAGGUGGGGAGCAGGUCAGGUCCCUCGGCCCAGCAGCUGGCUCAGCGUCGGAACACAACCGGGUGGCUGGGUUGACAAUCUGUGAACGCGGAGGAAUGGAAUUUUCAGUGAGUGGGUUUUUCCCUUUCCAGGAGCGCUGAUGCUUGGCCCUGGUGCUCCAGACCCUGAAGUCCAGUUUCGAAACUGACCAGAGUAGGCCAUGUUUCGGAGGAGGGCAGCCCCUACGUCUCCCCUUUGCUGAGGGCGUGUGAAGAGACUGUGGCGGGCUGGGUGGGAAGAGAUGGGCAAAGAGCUCCAAUACCUGUAUUUCCGUGCAGAGACAUUUUACAGCCAGGAAAAACCAAUAUCAUCAGUUCUGCCAUAACAUGCCCACUGUGGGCAUGUCAUCUUCCUGCUACAAAUUUUACCUGUUUUAUGCUGUACCUGUGUUCCUAGAAAGACAUAUUGUUGUCCCUCAAUCGUGUCCAACUCUUUGCGACUCUAUGGACUGCACCAUGCCAGGAUUCCCUGUCCUUCACCGUCUUCCCGAGUUUGCUCAAACUAAUGUCCAUUGAGUCAAUGAUGCCAUCCAACCAUCUCAUCCUCUGCUCCCCCCUUCUCCUCCUGCCCUCAAUCUUUCCCAGCAUCAGGAUGUUUUCCAGUGAGUUGGCUCUUUGCAUCAGGUGGCCAAAGUAUUGGAGCUUCAGCUUUAGCAUCAGUCCUUCCAAUGAAUAUUCAGAGUUGGUUUCCUUUAGGAUGAACUGGUUUGCUCUCCUUGCUGUCUAAGGGACUCUCGAGAGUCUUCUCUAGCACCACAUUUUGAAAGCAUCAAUUCUUCGGCCCUCAGCCUUCUUUAUGGUCCAACUCUCGCAUCCAACAUACAGUACUGGAGUGGGCUGCCACUUCCUUCUCCAGAGGAUCUUCUGACCCAGGGAUCGAACCUGGAUCUCCUGCGUUUCAGGCAGGUGCUUUACCCUCUGAGCCACCAGGGCUCAUAGCUUUGACUAGACGGACCUUUGUCAGCAAAGCAGUAUCUUUGCUUUUUAAUAUGCUGUCUAGGAGGUUUGCCAUAGCUUUGCCAUAACUUCCAAGGAGCAAGGAGCUUUUAAUUUCAUGACUGCGGUCACCAUCUGCAGUGAUUUUGGAGCCCAAGAAAAUAAAAUCUGCCACACUUUCUAUUUUUUACCCA